rnacentral:misc_RNA from 1 species
GAUGAAGAACGUAGCGAAAUGCGAUAAGUAAUGCGAAUUGCAGAAUUUCCGUGAAUCAUCGAAUCUUUGAACGCACAUUGCGCCCUCUGGUAUUCCGGGGGGCAUGCCUGUCCGAGCGUCAUUUGCAACCCUCAAGCCCGGCUUGUGUGAUGGGUGCCGUCCCCUACGGGACGCGCCCCGAAGGCAAUGGCGGCGUCGCGGUUAUCCGAUCAGCCAAAGUGUAUGGGGCUUUGUCACUCACUUUACGGCCCGGACCGGCGCCAGUCCGAAUCAAUCUUUUUUCUAAAGUUGACCUCGGAUCAGGUAGGGAUACCCGCUGAACUUAAGCAUAUCAAUAAGCGGAGGA